rnacentral:rRNA from 1 species
CUCCGUAGGGUAACCUGCGGAGGGAUCAUUACUGAGUUUACGCUCUAUAACCCUUUGUGAACAUACCUAUAACUGUUGCUUCGGCGGGUAGGGUCUCCGCGACCCUCCCGGCCUCCCGCCUCCGGGCGGGUCGGCGCCCGCCGGAGGAUAACCAAACUCUGAUUUAACGACGUUUCUUCUGAGUGGUACAAGCAAAUAAUCAAAACUUUUAACAACGGAUCUCUUGGUUCUGGCAUCGAUGAAGAACGCAGCGAAAUGCGAUAAGUAAUGUGAAUUGCAGAAUUCAGUGAAUCAUCGAAUCUUUGAACGCACAUUGCGCCCGCCAGCAUUCUGGCGGGCAUGCCUGUUCGAGCGUCAUUUCAACCCUCAAGCUCUGCUUGGUGUUGGGGCCCUACAGCUGAUGUAGGCCCUCAAAGGUAGUGGCGGACCCUCCCGGAGCCUCCUUUGCGUAGUAACUUUACGUCUCGCACUGGGAUCCGGAGGGACUCUUGCCGUAAAACCCCCCAAUUUCCAAAGGUGACCUCGGAUCAGUAGAAUGCCGG